rnacentral:rRNA from 1 species
GAUGAACGCUGGCGGCGUGCUUAACACAUGCAAGUCGAACGAUGAACCUCACUUGUGGGGGGAUUAGUGGCGAACGGGUGAGUAACACGUGAGUAACCUGCCCUUGACUCUGGGAUAAGCCUGGGAAACCGGGUCUAAUACUGGAUACGACCUUCUGGCGCAUGCCAUGUUGGUGGAAAGCUUUUGUGGUUUUGGAUGGACUCGCGGCCUAUCAGCUUGUUGGUGGGGUAAUGGCCUACCAAGGCGACGACGGGUAGCCGGCCUGAGAGGGUGACCGGCCACACUGGGACUGAGACACGGCCCAGACUCCUACGGGAGGCAGCAGUGGGGAAUAUUGCACAAUGGGCGCAGGCCUGAUGCAGCGACGCCGCGUGAGGGAUGAAGGCCUUCGGGUUGUAAACCUCUUUCAGUAGGGAAGAAGCCGGCUUUUGGGUUGGUGACGGUACCUGCAGAAGAAGCGCCGGCUAACUACGUG